rnacentral:lncRNA from 1 species
AUAGAGCAUGAAAACUAAAACUCACAUAAUCUGCAUUUGCCACAUUGAAAUGCACAAAACUCAGAUAACAGUUCCACCUAUGAAAAUGCAGAGUAGCAAACACCAGAGAAGCAAAACCCAAAUGAGCUAUGAAGUGCUGCAUCGAGAAAUUGUAAAGGAAAAAGGGCUUACAGGAUCCAAUGAAAGGUGCUUGCAAAGAGCCGAAGCUAUCAAUUUGUUUCUGCUUUCAACGGAAGCCAUAUCCGAUGAACGAUUAUUUGGUACUGAUGCUGCUCACUGCUGUUGUUAUCGUUUCAACUUCAAAUUCGCCUCUCCGCAAUUUUCUUCAUCACUUUGCACUUUGCANN